CCACACAUCACCUGGGAUCUCGUUAAAAGGAGAUUCUGAUCCAAAGGUCUGAAAGGGGGGCCUGGGUUCUACAAUCCUAACGAGUUCCCAGGUGCUACUAAU
rnacentral:miRNA from 1 species